rnacentral:rRNA from 1 species
GCCAACGAUUAUACCACGUUGAAUACACCAGUUCCCGCCAGAUCACUGAAGUUAAGCAACGUCGGGCGUGGUCAGUACUUGGAUGGGUGACCGCUUGGGAACACCAUGUAUCGUUGGCUCAU